rnacentral:rRNA from 1 species
GGCUAGGGGGCCAUCCCGGCUUACCAACCCGAUGCAAACUGCGAAUACCGGAGAAUGUUAUCACGGGAGACACACGGCGGGUGCUAACGUCCGUCGUGAAGAGGGAAACAACCCAGACCGCCAGCUAAGGUCCCAAAGUCAUGGUUAAGUGGGAAACGAUGUGGGAAGGCCCAGACAGCCAGGAUGUUGGCUUAGAAGCAGCCAUCAUUUAAAGAAAGCGUAAUAGCUCACUGGUCGAGUCGGCCUGCGCGGAAGAUGUAACGGGGCUAAACCAUGCACCGAAGCUGCGGCAGCGACGCUGAUGCGUUGUUGGGUAGGGGAGCGUUCUGUAAGCCUGUGAAGGUGGCCUGUGAGGGUUGCUGGAGGUAUCAGAAGUGCGAAUGCUGACAUAAGUAACGAUAAAGCGGGUGAAAAGCCCGCUCGCCGGAAGACCAAGGGUUCCUGUCCAACGUUAAUCGGGGCAGGGUGAGUCGACCCCUAAGGCGAGGCCGAAAGGCGUAGUCGAUGGGAAACGGGUUAAUAUUCCCGUACUUGGUGUUACUGCGAAGGGGGGACGGAGAAGGCUAUGUUGGCCGGGCGACGGUUGUCCCGGUUUAAGCGUGUAGGUGUGUGUUCCAGGUAAAUCCGGUUCACUUUAACACUGAGGCGUGAUGACGAGGCACUACGGUGCUGAAGCAACAAAUGCCCUGCUUCCAGGAAAAGCCUCUAAGCAUCAGGUAACAUCAAAUCGUACCCCAAACCGACACAGGUGGUCAGGUAGAGAAUACCAAGGCGCUUGAGAGAACUCGGGUGAAGGAACUAGGCAAAAUGGUGCCGUAACUUCGGGAGAAGGCACGCUGACACGUAGGUGAAGUGAUUUACUCACGGAGCUGAAGUCAGUCGAAGAUACCAGCUGGCUGCAACUGUUUAUUAAAAACACAGCACUGUGCAAACACGAAAGUGGACGUAUACGGUGUGACGCCUGCCCGGUGCCGGAAGGUUAAUUGAUGGGGUCAGCGCAAGCGAAGCUCCUGAUCGAAGCCCCGGUAAACGGCGGCCGUAACUAUAACGGUCCUAAGGUAGCGAAAUUCCUUGUCGGGUAAGUUCCGACCUGCACGAAUGGCGUAAUGAUGGCCAGGCUGUCUCCACCCGAGACUCAGUGAAAUUGAACUCGCUGUGAAGAUGCAGUGUACCCGCGGCAAGACGGAAAGACCCCGUGAACCUUUACUAUAGCUUGACACUGAACAUUGAGCCUUGAUGUGUAGGAUAGGUGGGAGGCUUUGAAGUGUGGACGCCAGUCUGCAUGGAGCCGACCUUGAAAUACCACCCUUUAAUGUUU